UAUUAUGUGCUUACCUUCUUCCUAUAUAUGUCUGGCCCGACGGCCAAGACUAUAUAUAUCAACUUUCUUAUCUUAAAUCCAUAACUUCUAUUUUCAAAAUCCAAUCCAUCCCCUUCAAACAAUGCCAUUAGCAUAACCCAUGGAUUUUGAAAACCGAAGCAGAACAAUUUCAAGAGUCUCAAGCAAAUAUUUCUAGCUCUUCCUUUCCCACUCGGACUCUAAAAUCCUUUCUCUCCAACUUCCUCCUCCAAAUCGUAGUCUUUUCCUUGAUUUUGAUGAUAAAAUCCCGUUCAAAAUUACUAGUACACCUCAAAAUCUAUUUUCCUCACCAUCAAAUUCACAAAAAUCAAAUUAUAUCUUUUUCCUUUUCUCCCUCACUGCCAUUUUCUUUUUCUUCUUCCCUCAUUGGCAAUGGCACCUCACCACAACUUCCUUGCACCGCCAGCAGUCCUCUCUCCACGCUGUUGCUAUCUUCACCGUUGAAGGAGACCCAACCACUGCAUGUUGUCACUAUUCUUUCGCGGCUCACUCGAAGCCGGUGUUCUCUCCUUGUCCAACGACAGCACUAGUGGUACUGCCUUACACGAUUGGGCUGCUCUUUCUUGAUGGUCUUAGACCAAACCGAGAGCCACUUGAUUCAGUUCAAUCGAACCGGUUUCCCCUAUGCAUGACUCUUUUACUGAUUUGUGGGACUCCAUUCGUGUAAAAUCUCGUCCUUGGUAUUGGGAGGUAUACCCACCACCUGAAAAAUAAUUUUGGCUAUAUCAAAAAAGACUACCCUAAAAUGUAUGCUUUUCACACAUAAAAUUAAUUUUUUUUUUCAUGUGUGUUUUUGCUAGAUAUGUAUUAAUAAUUAGAUUUAAAUUGGUAGAAAAAUUUUAAGAUGUAGUGUAAUAUGUAUAGAGAUUAUUUGACUUUGGAGCAUUGAGAAAUUGUGUAUAAAAGAUUAAAAUUUUAUUUCGGG
rnacentral:lncRNA from 1 species